UGCAUAAAUGCAUGUGCAUGCAGCGGUGCGGGUCGCAAAAAAACCCGAUGCGAAAUGCACAGCACGCCGCGCGCUGCAAUUAACUCGCGUUUUGCAUAUGGAAAUGGACACCCGGCGUUCUUCACGACGACAUUUCCAAACCGCACUGCUGAAAUUAGUUUGUGUCAAAACAGUUAACAGCCAACAGUUGUAGAUAAGUGGGUUAUUAUUCACGAUCGUGUAUAAUGAUGCGUAGAUAUGAUUUGCAGGUUGUAGCACCAAGGAAUUUCCUGUGAAUGGCUGGCGCGAGAGAGAGUAGAAAACGUAGGUAUUGGGAUAUUAGGCGAUCGCGACGUGAGUUCGAAACGUAAUAAAUGCGUACGGAGCGCAAUUACAAUAAAAAGGCAAUAAACUCGUUCGCGCGACGCGCGCCUGCGCCGGCACGCACGCGGAAAACGGACGGGUAUGUCGUCCGACGGGACACAACAGACGCACGACUUUAAUGUUCUUAUUCGCGACCAUUAUCUGCGCUCGGGAGUGUUAAUGUACUCAAUUUCAAUUUGCCGGGGCGCAAAUCAAGUCGAUUUUAUGACGCUCACGCACACGUACGUACGUGCAUUCAAAUUUACCGCAAAUUUCUAAUAUCCUAAAUAUACACAUCGACAAUAAUCAUAAAACCAACAAAAAAUAACAACAACUUGCAUUAUUUAUGGGUUGAAAAGUUCUCAAACGUAUUCCAGGCCUGGAAUGGAAUUAUCCAUACGGUCCGAGAAUCGCAAUUAAUCAGAAACGUCCUCUCCGCAAGCAGCACGAAGACACCAAAUGGAGAAAAAAACGCCGAGCGAAGAAGCGAAGAAUUUUUAGUGUAAUUUUAUGCAUGCUAAUGAACACACUGCUUGAGCAAGUCAAUUAUUUUUCAUUUCAUUCACAUAAACAGAUUUAAUGGAUGCGAUUUUUUUUAUUUAUUUUUGUUUUUGCUUCUUUUACAUUCAUUGCAUGAUUCGGUUUAGAUUAGUGCUGAUAUUGUGAUGAUAAACUUGCCAAUUGAAUAAAUUACUUACCCGUUAAA